rnacentral:rRNA from 1 species
UACGAAGGGGGGCUAGCGUUGCUCGGAAUCACUGGGCGUAAAGGGUGCGUAGGCGGGUCUUUUAAGUCAGGGGUGAAAUCCUGGAGCUCAACUCCAGAACUGCCUUUGAUACUGAGGAUCUUGAGUUCGGGAGAGGUGAGUGGAACUGCGAGUGUAGAGGUGAAAUUUCGUAGAUAUUCGCAAGAACACCAGUGGCGAAGGCGGCUCACUGGCCCGAUACUGACGCUGAGGCACGAAAGCGUGGGGAGCAAACAGG